AGAGUUUGAUCAUGGCUCAGAACGAACGCUGGCGGCAUGCCUAACACAUGCAAGUCGAACGCGUGACUUCGGUCACGAGUGGCGCACGGGUGAGUAACGCGUGGGAACCUGCCCCGAGGUGGGGGAUAACCGAUGGAAACGUCGGCUAAUACCGCAUACGACCUGAGGGUGAAAGAUUUAUCGCCUUGGGAGGGGCCCGCGUCGGAUUAGCUAGUUGGUGGGGUAACGGCCUACCAAGGCGAUGAUCCGUAGCUGGUCUGAGAGGAUGAUCAGCCACACUGGGACUGAGACACGGCCCAGACUCCUACGGGAGGCAGCAGUGGGGAAUAUUGGACAAUGGGCGCAAGCCUGAUCCAGCAAUGCCGCGUGAGUGAUGAAGGCCUUAGGGUUGUAAAGCUCUUUCGGCGGGGACGAUGAUGACGGUACCCGCAGAAGAAGCCCCGGCUAACUUCGUGCCAGCAGCCGCGGUAAUACGAAGGGGGCAAGCGUUGUUCGGAAUUACUGGGCGUAAAGGGCGCGCAGGCGGCCAAGUAAGUCAGAUGUGAAAGCCCCGGGCUCAACCUGGGAAUAGCAUUUGGGACUGUUUGGCUAGAGAUCGGGAGAGGAGAGUGGAAUUCCCAGUGUAGAGGUGAAAUUCGUAGAUAUUGGGAAGAACACCGGUGGCGAAGGCGGCUCUCUGGACCGAUACUGACGCUGAGGCGCGAAAGCGUGGGGAGCAAACAGGAUUAGAUACCCUAGUAGUCC
rnacentral:rRNA from 1 species